ACACACAGGUAACUACACACAGGUAACUACAGACACAGGUAACUACAGACACACAGGUAACUACACACAGGUAACUACAGACACACAGGUAACUACACACAGGUAACUACAGACACACAGGUAACUACACACAGGUAACUACACACAGGUAACUACAGACAGGUAACUACAGACACACAGGUAACUACACACAGGUAACUACACACAGGUAACUAUGGACACACAGGUAACUAUGGACACACAGGUGACUACAGACAGGUAACUAUGGACACACAGGUAACUACACACAGGUGACUACAGACAGGUAACUACACACAGGUAACUACA